UACGGAGGGAGCAAGCGUUACUCGGAAUUAUUGGGCGUAAAGGGCGCGUAGGCGAUUCGAUAAGUCUCAUGUGAAAAUCCCAGGGCCUAACCCUGGAAUGGCAUGGGAUACUGUUGGAUUUGAGUUCCGGAGAGGAAGGCAGAAUUCCCGGUGUAGCGGUGAAAUGCGUAGAUAUCGGGAGGAAUACCAGUGGCGAAGGCGGCCUUCUGGACGGAUACUGACGCUGAGGCGCGAAAGCCAGGGGAGCAAACGGGG
rnacentral:rRNA from 1 species